AUAGCGUAUAUUAAAGUUGUUGCAGUUAAAAAGCUCGUAGUUGGAUUUCUGGUGGAGUGCCGAUGUCCGAUUGUUAUCGUGUGCAAAGGCGCUCUACCAUCCUUCUGUUAACGGUUCAUGGUAUUUAUUUACUGGUUCCGGGCUCAGAUAUUUUACCUUGAGAAAAUUAGAGUGUUUCAGGCAGGCUUGCGCCAGAAUACAUUAGCAUGGAAUAAUAGAAUAGGACUUCUGUCUCCUUUGUUGGUUUGAGGGAUCGAAGUAAUGAUUAAUAGGGAUAGUUGGGGGCAUUAGUAUUUAAUUGUCAGAGGUGAAAUUCUCGGAUUUGUUAAAGACUAACUUAUG
rnacentral:rRNA from 1 species